rnacentral:rRNA from 1 species
AUUGAACGCUGGCGGCAGGCCUAACACAUGCAAGUCGAACGAGUGGCGGACGGGUGAGUAAUGUCUGGGAAACUGCCUGAUGGAGGGGGAUAACUACUGGAAACGGUAGCUAAUACCGCAUACCAUCAGAUGUGCCCAGAUGGGAUUAGCUAGUGGGUGGGGUAAGGGCUCACCAAGGCGCCGAUCCCUAGCUGGUCUGAGAGGAUGACCAGCAACACGGGAAUGGAGACACGGUCCAGACUCCUAGGGGAGGCAGCAGUGGGGAAUAUGGCACAAUGGGCGCAAGCCUGAUGAAGCCAUGCCGCGUGGAGGAAGAAGGCCUUCGGGUUGUAAAGUACUUUCAGCGAGGAGGCGUUACCCGCAGAAGAAGCACCGGCUAACUCCGUGCCAGCAGCCGCGGUAAUAC